GAUUAUGAGACAUUCGAGGAGUUGUUGACGAAAUUGGAGGAGAGUGAAGAGAGAGAGCUGUUGGUUUGGCGUAGUAUGUACGGCAUUCGCCCUGAGGAGCGUGUUAGCUGUCCGAUGCCACCUGUGUCAGUUCCUCGUACUCAGCCUGAAACUUGUGUUAAAGUUCCGGAAGAUUUGAUGCCGGCUAUACACACCAGGUCUCCAGUACACCUUCACAACCCGGUGUGUCUUGUUCCUGCUUCUCGCACUCAUCCUGAGGUGCGUGCUUUCAGCCUGGUACCACCAGUACCGGUACCACGCACCAGGCCUAUAGUGCACCUCGGCAGUCCAAUACGCCCUGUUCCUCUUCCACGCACUCGCCCUGAGGUGCGUGUCCUUGGCCCAGUACCACCAGUGCCAACACCACGCACCAGGCUUCCUGUACGUCUCCAGAGCCCUGUAUGCCCUGUUCCUCCUACCGUCACUCACCCUGAGGUGCGUGUCUCCAGCCCGGUACCACCAGUGCCGGCACCACGCACCAGGCCACCAGUGCGCCUCCAGGGUCCAGUACUCCCUGUUCCUGCUCCUCGCACUCGCUCUGAGGUGCGUGUCCCCAGCCCGGUACCACCAGUGCCGGCACCACACACUAGGCCACCAGUGCGCCUCCAGGGCCCAGUACUCCCUGCUCCUGCUCCUCGCACUCGCCCUGAGGUGCGUGUCCUCGGCCCAGUACCACCAGUGCCGGCACCACGCACCAGGCCUACAGUGCGCCUCGCCAGUCCAGAGCGUCCGGCAAAAGUACCCAGUCCAGAGCGUCCGGCAACAGUCUACAGACCGGAACCUCCUAGGACGGGUCACAGUCCGGAACCUACCACGACGGGUCGCAGUCCGGAACCUACCACGACGGGUCGCAGUCCGGAACCCACCAGUUCGGAUCCGCCAGAGUCUCCCUCCAGUCCGGAUCCGCCAGAGUCUCCCUCCAGACUCAGAUCCGCCAGAGUCUCCCUCCAGACUCGGAUCCGCCAGAU
rnacentral:lncRNA from 13 species